GAUGAACGCUAGCGGCAGGCCUAAUACAUGCAAGCCGAACGGCAAGUUUGAUAGCAAUAUUGGACCUCGAGUGGCGCAAGGGUGCGUAACCCGUAUGCAACCCGCCCGCGACAGGAGGAUAUCUCCCCGAAAGGGGAAUUAACCCUCCAUAACACCAUGAGAAGGCAUCUGAUUAUGGUUAAACCGCAACGGGUCGCGGAUGGGCAUGCGGUUGAUUAGCUAGUUGGCGGGGUAAAGGCCCACCAAGGCGGUGAUCAAUAGGUGGUCCGCGAGGAAGGUCCCGCACACUGGGACGGGGAGACGGGCCAGAAUCGAGAGGGAGGCAGCAGUAGUGAAUAAUGGAGAAUGGUUGCAAGACGGAUCCAGCCAGGCCGCGUGCAGGAGGAAGGCCUUCUGAGUCGUAAACUGCUUUUUGCUGUGAAUAAAAUACCCGUGCGCGAGGAAUUGAAGGUAACAGAGGAAUAAGCCACGGCUAACUACGUG
rnacentral:rRNA from 1 species